UAGCUCAGAUGGUAGAGUACUUGCCUUGCAUGUAGAAGGCCCUGGGUUCAAUUCCCAG
rnacentral:tRNA from 1 species